rnacentral:rRNA from 1 species
GGGGAGUACGGUCGCAAGACCGAAACUCAAAGGAAUUGACGGGGGCCUGCACAAGCGGUGGAGCAUGUGGUUUAAUUCGAUACAACGCGCAAAACCUUACCAGCCCUUGACAUAUGAACAACAAAACCUGUCCUUAACAGGAUGGUACUGACUUUCAUACAGGUGCUGCAUGGCUGUCGUCAGCUCAUGUCGUGAGAUGUUUGGUCAAGUCCUAUAACGAGCGAAACCCUCGUUUUGUGUUGCUGAGACAUGCGCCUAAGGAGAAAUUGCCACCGAGUGACGUGCCAGCGCUACUACUUGAUUGAGUGCCAGCACGUAGCUGUGCUUUCAGCAAGAAUUUCACCAUUGGGAGCCGGUGCCUUUCGAAGCACUUUCACGUGUGAACCGAAGUCGUCUUGCCCAAGACCCACGGAGACCUACCUAUAGUGACGUCAAAGUACCAGUGAGCAUGGAGGUUUGGUUGAAAUUGGUUACGACGACGUCGAGUUGGCGGCGGAGGAAGACUCGGCAUGAAGGCCAGAAAAUGGUGUGGAACGUAGUGGUAAUAGUACGUGCCCCACUCCGAAACAAAGAAAAAGGUGCGUGCCGCACUCACGAGGGACUGCCAGUGAGAUACUGGAGGAAGGUGGGGAUGACGUCAAGUCCGCAUGGCCCUUAUGGGCUAGGCCACACACGUGCUACAAUGGCAAUGACAAUGGGAAGCAAGGCUGUAAGGCGGAGCGAAUCCGGAAAGAUUGCCUCAGUUCGGAUUGUUCUCUGCAACUCGGGAACAUGAAGUUGAAAUCGCUAGUAAUCGCGGAUCAGCAUGCUGCGGUGAAUAUGUACCCGGGCCCUGUACACACCGCCCGUCACACCCUGGGAAUUGGUUUCGCCCGAAGCAUCGGACCAAUGAUCACCCAUGACUUCUGUGUACCACUAGUGCCACAAAGGCCUUUGGUGGUCUUAUUGGCGCAUACCACGGUGGGGUCUUCGACUGGGGUGAAGUCGUAACAAGGUAGCCGUAGGGGAACCUGUGGCUG